AGUGACUAACUUGGACGUAAUGAAAAUGGUAUAAUUUCAGACUACAUCAGCGACAUCUGGACGAGCGGCAACAAACGUAACUCGAGGUCUUGGUCGUGGUUAUCUGGCACUUCCUCUCCCUACUCUAACUGGUCUAGCACCGGCAGGCGAGGCCUGCCACAGCCAGACAACGAUGAAGGCAACGAGGACUGUCUGGCGGUGUUAAACAACCUGUAUAACGAUGGUGUCACUUGGCACGACUCCUCAUGUUUCCACCUGAGGCGCGUCAUCUGUGAGGCUCCACGCUUCUACGCUCAAUAGUUGUUCCCCAUCAGUUCUCAUUAUUGUAAUAUUAUAAUCAAUGGCAGUAAACUUAUAACUCUAUCGAUUGAGACAAAUUAAUUCUAAUGAGAAUAAGAUUCUAUAGUGUAGUAAUAUAAAUGCUAUAAACG